AGAAAGUAUACGCGUUCCUCUUCCUGAAAGCGGCCAGAGGUGACCUGUGAAGGUGGUUCGCUACUCCCUCGACCCAGAAAACCCCACAAAAUCAUGCAAAUCAAGAGGUUCAAACCUUCGUGUUCACUUUAAGAAUACUCGGGAAACUGCCCAGGCCAUCAAAGGUAUGCAUAUCCGCAAAGCCACCAAGUAUCUGAAGGAUGUCACUUUAAAGAAGCAAUGUGUGCCAUUUGGCGGUAUAAUGGUGGAGUUGGUAGGUGCGCCCAGGCCAAACAGUGGGGCUGGACACAGGGACUGUGGCCAAAAAAGAGAGCUGAAAUUUCGCUGCACAUGCUCAAAACUGCAGAGAGUAAUGCUGAACCUAAGGGUUCAGAUGUAGAGUCUCUGGUCAUUGAACACAACCCGGGGAACAAGGCUCCUAAGAUGUGCCGAUGGAUCUACAGAGCUCAUGGCCGGAUUAACCCAUCCAUGAGCUCCCCUGCCACAUCGAGAUGACUCUCACUGAGAAGGAACAGAUUGUUCCAAAGCCAGAAGAGGAGGUUGCACAGAAGAAAAAGAUAUCCCAGUGGAAACUGAAGAAACAAAAACUCAUGGCAUGAAAUAAAUUCAGCAUAAAAUAAACGCAGAUAAAGUAAAAAAAAAAAAAG
rnacentral:lncRNA from 1 species